rnacentral:rRNA from 1 species
AGUCAAUAGAUACCCAGGUAGUCCACGCCGUAAACGAUGUCGACUUGGAGGUUGUGCCCUUGAGGCGUGGCCUCCGGAGCUAAACGCGUUAAGUCGACCGCCUGGGGAGUACGGCCGCAAGGUUAAAACUCAAAUGAAUUGACGGGGGCCCGCACAAGCGGUGGAGCAUGUGGUUUAAUUCGAUGCAACGCGAAGAACCUUACCUACUCUUGACAUCCAGAGAACUUAGCAGAGAUGCUUUGGUGCCUUCGGGAACUCUGAGACAGGUGCUGCAUGGCUGUCGUCAGCUCGUGUUGUGAAAUGUUGGGUUAAGUCCCGCAACGAGCGCAACCCUUAUCCUUUGUUGCCAGCGGUUAGGCCGGGAACUCAAAGGAGACUGCCAGUGAUAAACUGGAGGAAGGUGGGGAUGACGUCAAGUCAUCAUGGCCCUUACGAGUAGGGCUACACACGUGCUACAAUGGCGCAUACAAAGAGAAGCGACCUCGCGAGAGCAAGCGGACCUCAUAAAGUGCGUCGUAGUCCGGAUUGGA